rnacentral:rRNA from 1 species
CCAGACUCCUACGGGAGGCAGCAGUCGGGAAUAUUGCGCAAUGGAGGAAACUCUGACGCAGUGACGCCGCGUAUAGGAAGAAGGUUUUCGGAUUGUAAACUAUUGUCCACAGGGAAGAAAAAAGACUGUACCUGUGAAGAAAGCUCCGGCUAACUACGUGCCAGCAGCCGCGGUAAUACGUAGGGAGCAAGCGUUGUCCGGAAUUACUGGGUGUAAAGGGAGCGUAGGCGGGAAUGCAAGUUGGAAGUGAAAGGUAUGGGCUCAACCCAUGAACUGCUUUCAAAACUGUAUUUCUUGAGUGAAGUAGAGGCAGGCGGAAUUCCUAGUGUAGCGGUGAAAUGCGUAGAUAUUAGGAGGAACACCAGUGGCGAAGGCGGCCUGCUGGGCUUUAACUGACGCUGAGGCUCGAAAGCGUGGGUAGCAAACAGGAUUAGAUACCCCGGUAC